GGUUACCUUGUUACGACUUCACCCCAGUCAUAAACCAUACCGUGGUGGGCGACCUCCAAAAGGUUAGUCUACCCGCUUCUGGUACAAUUUACUCCCAUGGUGUGACGGGCGGUGUGUACAAGGCCCGGGAACGUAUUCACCGCGACAUGCUGAUUCGCGAUUACUAGCGAUUCCGACUUCAUGGAGUCGAGUUGCAGACUCCAAUCCGGACUGAGAACAGCUUUCUCGGAUUAGCUCCCCCUCGCGGGUUAGCAACCAAUUGUACUGUCCAUUGUAGCACGUGUGUAGCCUACCCAUAAGGGCCAUGAUGACUUGACAUCAUCCCCACCUUCCUCCGGUUAUC
rnacentral:rRNA from 1 species